GAUAAACGCUGGCGGCGCGCACGAGACAUGCAAGUCGAACGGGCGACUCGGGCUUGCUCGAGUCGCUAGUGGCGGACGGCUGAGUAACGCGUGGGUGACCUGCCCCGAAGUGGGGAAUAACUGCCCGAAAGGGUGGCUAAUACCGCAUGUGGUCACACGUUCGGUCGCGUGAGUAAAGCCGCAAGGCGCUUCGGGAGGGGCCUGCGUCCGAUUAGCUCGUUGGUGGGGUAACGGCUCACCAAGGCGACGAUCGGUAGGUGGUCUGAGAGGACGAUCACCCAGACUGGGACUGAGACACGGCCCAGACUCCUACGGGAGGCAGCAGUCGGGAAUUUUGCUCAAUGGGCGAAAGCCUGAAGCAGCAACGCCGCGUGAGGGAUGAAGGCCUUCGGGUUGUAAACCUCUUUUCUCAGGGACGAUGAUGACGGUACCUGAGGAAUAAGCCACGGCUAACUACGUGCCAGCCGCCGCGGUAACAC
rnacentral:rRNA from 1 species